UACGAAGGGGGCUAGCGUUGUUCGGAUUUACUGGGCGUAAAGCGCACGUAGGCGGAUCGAUCAGUCAGGGGUGAAAUCCCAGGGCUCAACCCUGGAACUGCCUUUGAUACUGUCGAUCUGGAGUAUGGAAGAGGUGAGUGGAAUUCCGAGUGUAGGGGUGAAAUUCGUAGAUAUUCGGAGGAACACCAGUGGCGAAGGCGGCUCACUGGUCCAUUACUGACGCUGAGGUGCGAAAGCGUGGGGAGCAAACAGG
rnacentral:rRNA from 1 species